rnacentral:sRNA from 20 species
CAAUCGGAAUGAUGGUCAAAGCUCAUGAAAGUUGUAGGUUUUUUUGUCCUGCAAUCUUCUAGGGU